rnacentral:rRNA from 1 species
GACGAACGCUGGCGGCGUGCCUAAUACAUGCAAGUCGAGCGGGGUGACCUUCGGGUCACUUACGUGGCGGACGGGUGAGGAACACGUGGGCAACCUGCCCAAUGGUGGGGGAUAACCGCUGGAAACAGCGGGUAAUACCGCAUGAGCUUAUCUUUCGAGUGGGAGGGAUAAGGAAAGCCUUCGGGCGCCGAUGGAGGGGCCUGCGUCCGAUUAGCUAGACGGUGGGGUAAUGGCCUACCGUGGCAGUGAUCGGUAGCUGGUUUGAGAGGAUGAUCAGCCACACGGGGACUGAGACACGGCCCCGACUCCUACGGGAGGCAGCAGCAAGGAAUUUUCCGCAAUGGGCGCAAGCCUGACGGAGCAACGCCGCGUGUGGGAUGACGCUUUUCGGAGUGUAAACCACUGUUCGUGGGGACGAAGCACUGACGGUACCCACGGAGGAAGGCCCGGCUAACUAC